AAUGACCCUAGAGACAGACAUAGUCAAAAUGAAAACAUAAAUUCCAAUUUUGUGUCAAUUAUUUUCAAACUAUGUUCCCUCUGGUUUAAAUAAUCUGAUAAGUUGUAAAACAGUUUUCAUAAGUAGGACAGCACCAGUCAUUAUUUUUUCACUGACUGCUCCUGGUCCUAUUGUUUAGGAAGCAAGUCAUUGAUAUAAAAGGCCACUUCUAUGACUUAUUUUUCUGUUUGGUUGGGCUGCCAUGGAAACCGGAAGCAUGUAUUCAAGCCUUUGUUAACAGGAAAGACAUUUUUCAUGCAGUCUUCCUAUUUCAGGCACCGAUAAUACGCUGUCAUGUGUACAGUAACAUUCAAGAUGGAACUGGAGGAGCAGGGAACAUAGAGUGAUGGGGAAGAAAAGAGGGAAUCCCGAGCAGAGAAAACUGGGAAAAGAACUAGAGGGAAUGUAAAUGGAAAGGCUAGAGCUACAGAGGCAUCUCGAUCUAUGAGAAAAAGGCCACGAGAAUCAUAGGGGCCUCA